CAGACCACUGAUUGUUCUGCUGACAGGUGAUAACUCUCUCCCCCACCAGCUCAAAGGCCGCCGGGCAUUCAAAGGCUGGGAGCCAUCAUGGCUGACUCACUAUGAUCUCAGGCUCCUGGGCUCAAGUGAUCUUUCGACCUCAGCCCCUGGAGUGGCUGGGACAACAGACAGCAAAUUUAACCAAGGUAAAUUUCAGCACCUUGAUUCACGUAUAUUGACAUUGAGGUGAAGAACUAUGACCUGUUAGAAUAAAACUGAUCAAAGAUGACCACAAAAGAUUUUAGUGUCUACCAUCUCUAAAAGGAACAUCACUUUUCAAAUCAAUUAAUGGAAAAGGAAGCUGGAGACUGUCCACCUGCUCUUUCCCUCAAUUGCCUCCUCUCCUCCUUCAAUGUCAUCUUAAGUGACUUCUCCUUAUUAAACACCAGGACAGAUGAAGAUACAAGGCAAUAUAAUUUUUUAUUUAUGUUUUUAUUUCUUGACACUGCCACUUUCAAGGUGAGAUGCCAUAAUUAACUUUUUAAAAACUUGUCAACUUACUUUAUUUUUCUUACAUUACAAACCACUAAGUCAAA